rnacentral:lncRNA from 1 species
UGCCCCCCUCCCCCACCAAGUCCAGUCUACAGCAUUCCUUCCGGGGUCUUCUCACCUCCCCCAACUCUCACCCACUGUACUCUCAAAACAAGCCUAAAUUUUCUCCACGGGCCUUGAGCUGCUGCUAUAAAGUUCAAUGUGUUACCUCCACCUGGGGCAUCCACAUGGUUACAAAAAAUUCAGCUUUAAGCCAAAGGUACAGAUACAGUGAGGAGCUGGGUGGGAAUGAGGGCCGGGCCGGAAGACC